UUAUACUAUUGACUAAAAUUUAAAAUAGCAGCGUUUCCCCAGUUUGUCCCAGAUACAUCAAUGAAAGUCAUUUAAAAUAAGCCCAAGUAUUUUAGUUAUCAAGUGUAUCAAGAUAUCUGGAGAGAGAAAGAGAUCCGCUUCCUCUCUGGCCUCAUCACUUUAUAAACACGUCAGGAAGAACAUUCCUUCAAAUAGUGAUCGAUGACCAUUUUGCUGGUGCAGGAAUCGGAUGCGAUGAGGAAGAGGAGGAUGAAGAGGAUCGCAGAACGAUCAUCGGCUUCUUUGGACACAUUGGUUGAUUAUCCCUGAGUCUCAGAGGAACGUUGUGGUGAGCUGGUCAAGUGGACUGUUACCUCGCAUGGCCCUGAACAAACCCGUAUGACUGUCUGCCUGCACUCUGAGCCGGGGGAGCGUGAGGAUAGACAGAGGCAUGAGGUAAUAAAUUCUCUCGCAUCUGGUCGUACGCUGUUGGAUCACGUCAAACUUAUUUGUCUUUAAUGAAGGAAACAGCAUGUGCGCACACACGGGAGCGAGUGCUGGUAGAUGCGGAUGUGGAUGUUGGAGUGGAAGACGCCUGCUGUUCUGAUGGGAGAGUCUGUUUCAAACAAACAGCUUUUCCAUCUGAAUACUGAUGUACAGAACUUGCUCAAAGGUGCUCGCUACUUUCUUCGAAGGAAAAGGAAGAUAUUUUUGAAAUAUUUCCAUCUGUAAUAUCAUUGACAAGACGUUUUGGAGACAGGCAGACUCAUCUUUAGCCUGUUACAUAUUUCAAUUGUUUUAUCACGUGACCUGCACUG